AAAAUCCUGAAAGAAUAAAGUUGUUGUGUGAGAGCAGGAUUUUGUCCUCACCCUGAAGGAAAGGAACAGAGGAGCCCGCUCAGGUAGGAGCAGAAGGGCCACCUCACACAGGCUCAGAACCUGCCCAGAGCCCAGGCGACAAGUCAGAGUUCAUUCUGCCAGCAAUAACAGAGUGAACUCCCAGGGUGAGUUCCUCCCACUGCAGCACGAGGGCACCUUGUGGAAUCCUGGGGCUCCCUAAGCCAAGCCUCCUCAGGGGACGCCCAGCCUAGGUAUCCAGGGGAGUAGCGGGCAGCACUCUGGGUGGAGGUGUGGGAAUGCAGCCACAUAGCUGGCAGAGUCAGCAAGCCAAACAGAGGCUUCUGGGAUCAGGAUCAGAAGCCAAACAGGACAGGGGCUGUGGCCCGAAACCCUAGCAACUGUUGUCACUGGAGGCAGGACAGUCCAUUGGGACCUAGAACAGCAAGCUGUCCCCGGAAGGACUUUGCUAUCAUUAUUGCCCUCAUCCAGCUGGGCGGUGGUUCCUGUGGUAGGGAAGGGAGAGAGGAAAAGAAUACAGAUUUUUCACCGGUAGAGUGAAGCCUAGGUAACUACAGUGACCUGAGAAGGGCGUGGCAAACAGUCCAUCCUGAGACCUCUGCAUGAUCUUGGGUGUGGAGUCUCACCCCGUGUGUGUCACAGAUGGUUGUGAGCCACCAUGUGGUUGCUGGGAUUUGAACUCAUGACCUCUAGAAGAGCAGUCAGUGCUCUUAACCACUGAAUCAUCUCUCUAUCCCAGAAGAAGACUUUAAGAGCUAAGAACACGACCCGUGCCCAUCUGAUAGCUCCUGAUUCUACGGCCAUCCAGAAAGGAUCCCAAGAGCUACAAACCAGGAGGCACGGCCACUUACCAGGUUCUCAUUGGUCAGCCGGGAUAUCUCCUGCUGGACACCAAAUUCUACCUGGGCCUCUGGGGAGAGCAGCAGGGUCUGGCAGAAGGUCUGCUGCUGUUUGUCCAUCUCCUCUUUCAGGGCUUCCACCUGGGCCUUGAGAUGUUCCACCUCCUCCUCAUGCUCCAGGCUCUGGGCCUGCAGCUGGGCCUCCAGCAACCUGGACCCAGAGAAGCAAGCCAGGUCACCAUGUGGCUGGGGUGGGCACCCAUCGUGAGGAGCUACAGACAGACACGACAGGAGCAGCCAAGCACACAGCAGGAGGGAUCAUAUGGCCCCAACAGGAAUGGACGCAGCAGGGAGAUCUCAACAGGCAAGCAGACCAAUGGAUCCUUUUAGGUGACCAGAAUCCGAGGCCAAAGGCACCCUUGGGCUUAGGCCUCUUUGGCCACCCUCAUUUUUUGUCCUGUGGGUGUAGACUACUGGUGUGAGAUUAAGAGACUCUCUCCAUGUCAAGAUACCAUUACCAUAAAUGUCUCAGAGUGUCUUAAAAUAGCGGUGUCAACAUCUGCCUCAAAGUUUGUAAGAAUUUACUUAUAAAGACAAGAUAUGGAUAAUUAUACUAGUUGUUUUCUGUAGUAGAUUCUCCUCCUCCUUCUCCUCUUCCUCCUCCUCCUCCUCUUCUUCUUCUUUUAGGAGAAGAGCUAAUAUUUUGCCUUUUCUCUCUGCCUUUAAUAUCCCACUUUAUCUCAUGUAUAAUU